rnacentral:rRNA from 1 species
GAUGAACGCUGGCGGCGUGCUUAACACAUGCAAGUCGAACGGAAAGGCUCCUGCUUGCAGGGGUACUCGAGUGGCGAACGGGUGAGUAACACGUGGGUGAUCUGCCCUGCACUUCGGGAUAAGCCUGGGAAACUGGGUCUAAUACCGGAUAGGACGAUGGUUUGGAUGCCAUUGUGGAAAGUUUUUUCGGUGUGGGAUGAGCUCGCGGCCUAUCAGCUUGUUGAUGGGGUAAUGGCCUACCAAGGCGUCGACGGGUAGCCGGCCUGAGAGGGUGUACGGCCACAUUGGGACUGAGAUACGGCCCAGACUCCUACGGGAGGCAGCAGUGGGGAAUAUUGCACAAUGGGCGCAAGCCUGAUGCAGCGACGCCGCGUGGGGGAUGACGGCCUUCGGGUUGUAAACUCCUUUCGCUAGGGACGAAGCGCAAGUGACGGUACCUGGAGAAGAAGCACCGGCUAACUACGUG